UACGUAGGGUGCGAGCGUUAAUCGGAAUUACUGGGCGUAAAGCGUGCGCAGGCGGUGAUGUAAGACCGAUGUGAAAUCCCCGGGCUUAACCUGGGAACUGCAUUGGUGACUGCAUUGCUGGAGUAUGGCAGAGGGGGGGUGGAAAUCCACGUGUAGCAGUGAAAUGCGUAGAGAUGUGGAGGAACACCGAUGGCGAAGGCAGCCCCCCUGGGCCAAUACUGACGCUCAUGCACGAAAGCGUGGGGAGCAAACAGG
rnacentral:rRNA from 1 species